rnacentral:rRNA from 1 species
GUACAUGCCGUAUUAAGGCGAAACCGCGAAUGGCUCAUUAAAUCAGUUAUGGUUCCUUGGAUCGUACCUUACUACUUGGAUAACUGUGGUAAUUCUAGAGCUAAUACAUGCAGCAGAGCUCCGACCUUCGGGGACGAGCGCUUUUAUUAGACCAAAACCAAUCGGACUCUGUCCGUCUAAUGUGGUGACUCUGAAUAACUUUGGGCUGAUCGCACGGGCCCGUCCCGGCGACGUAUCUUUCAAGUGUCUGCCUUAUCAACUUUCGAUGGUAGGUUACGCGCCUACCAUGGUCGUAACGGGUAACGGGGAAUCAGGGUUCGAUUCCGGAGAGGGAGCCUGAGAAACGGCUACCACAUCCAAGGAAGGCAGCAGGCGCGCAAAUUACCCACUCCCGGAACGGGGAGGUAGUGACGAAAAAUAACAAUACGGGACUCUUUUGAGACCCCGUAAUUGGAAUGAGUACACUCUAAAUCCUUUAACGAGGAUCCAUUGGAGGGCAAGUCUGGUGCCAGCCGCCGCGGUAACUCCAGCUCCAAUAGCGUAUAUUAAAGUUGUUGCGGUUAAAAAGCUCGUAGUUGGAUCUCAGUUCCAGACGGGUGGUCCGCCUACCGGUGGUUACUGCCUGUUCUGAACAGCCAGCCGGUUUCUCUUGAUGAUCUUCACCGGUUGUCUUGGGUGACCGGCAAGUUUACUUUGAAAAAAUUAGAGUGCUCAAAGCAGGCGUGACGCCUGAAUAAUGGUGCAUGGAAUAAUGGAAUAGGACCUCGGUUCUAUUUUGUUGGUUUUCGGAACACGAGGUAAUGAUUAAGAGGGACAGACGGGGGCAUUCGUAUUGCGACGCUAGAGGUGAAAUUCUUGGACCGUCGCAGGACGAACUACUGCGAAAGCAUUUGCCAAGAAUGUUUCCAUUAAUCAAGAACGAAAGUUAGAGGUUCGAAGGCGAUCAGAUACCGCCCUAGUUCUAACCAUAAACUAUGCCAGCCAGCGAUCCGGCUGUGUUCCUCAAAUGACACGCCGGGCAGCUUCCGGGAAACCAAAGCUUUUGGGUUCCGGGGGAAGUAUGGUUGCAAAGCUGAAACUUAAAGGAAUUGACGGAAGGGCACCACCAGGUUUGGAGCCUGCGGCUUAAUUUGACUCAACACGCGACAACUCACUCGGCCCGGACACAGGAAGGAUUGACAGAUUAAGAGCUCUUUCUUGAUUCUGUGGGUGGUGGUGCAUGGCCGUUCUUAGUUGGUGGAUUGAUUUGUYUGGUUUAUUCCGAUAACGAACGAGACUCUA